rnacentral:lncRNA from 1 species
GUCUGCUCUAUAUCCUGAGAACUGUUAUGAUUUCAAAGUUUAUACCUGACAUGUAUAUUAACCAACAUCAAAGGGUGUAUCAUAAUGUAUGUACAGCUUCCUAGGUCAAGGGUCAAGGUCAAAACAUUUUGUUUCAGUUGACAACCCCAAGUCCUCCGGUAAAGAUGCAAAUUUUUUACCAGACGUUUUUCACAGCUGGCC